UGAAGAAAAAUGUCUCUCUUCUACCUGGGU
rnacentral:piRNA from 1 species